rnacentral:rRNA from 1 species
GACGAACGCUGGCGGCGUGCCUAAUACAUGCAAGUUGAGCGCUGAAGGUUGGUACUUGUACCAACUGGAUGAGCAGCGAACGGGUGAGUAACGCGUGGGGAAUCUGCCUUUGAGCGGGGGACAACAUUUGGAAACGAAUGCUAAUACCGCAUAAAAACUUUAAACACAAGUUUUAAGUUUGAAAGAUGCAAUUGCAUCACUCAAAGAUGAUCCCGCGUUGUAUUAGCUAGUUGGUGAGGUAAAGGCUCACCAAGGCGAUGAUACAUAGCCGACCUGAGAGGGUGAUCGGCCACAUUGGGACUGAGACACGGCCCAAACUCCUACGGGAGGCAGCAGGAGGAAAUCUUCGGCAAUGGACGAAAGGCUGACCGAGCAACGCCGCGUGAGUGAAGAAGGUUUUCGGAUCGUAAAACUCUGUUGGUAGAGAAGAACGUUGGUGAGAGUGGAAAGCUCAUCAAGUGACGGUAACUACCCAGAAAGGGACGGCUAACUACGUG